UACGGGGGGGGGCAAGCGUUGUUCGGAAUUACUGGGCGUAAAGGGCUCGUAGGCGGCCAACUAAGUCAUACGUGAAAUCCCUCGGCUUAACCGGGGAACUGCGUCUGAUACUGGAUGGCUUGAGUUCGGGAGAGGGAUGCGGAAUUCCAGGUGUAGCGGUGAAAUGCGUAGAUAUCUGGAGGAACACCGGUGGCGAAGGCGGCAUCCUGGACCGAUACUGACGCUGAGGAGCGAAAAGCCAGGGGGAGCGAAACGGG
rnacentral:rRNA from 1 species